GUGAAUCAUCAAAUUUUUGAACGCAAAUUGCACUCUCUGGUAUUCCGGAGAGUAUGCCUGUUUGAGGGUCAGUUUAAAUAAAAAUCGGUAUGUUUGCUACCUUUCGUGGUGACGCACCGGAUUGGGGUCGUCUUGCCUUCUGUUAAGUGACCUAAAAUUUUUCAUAAUUUUUUUCAAGCGUAUUUAAAUGACUUUACGUAGGUUUGCGAUAUCAAAGACUAAAUGUGGUAGUCCUC
rnacentral:misc_RNA from 1 species